rnacentral:rRNA from 1 species
AUUGAACGCUGGCGGCAGGCCUAACACAUGCAAGUCGAGCGGAUGAAGGGAGCUUGCUCCUGGAUUCAGCGGCGGACGGGUGAGUAAUGCCUAGGAAUCUGCCUGGUAGUGGGGGAUAACGUCCGGAAACGGGCGCUAAUAGCGCAUACGUCCUGAGGGAGAAAGUGGGGGAUCUUCGGACCUCACGCUAUCAGAUGAGCCUAGGUCGGAUUAGCUAGUUGGUGGGGUAAAGGCCUACCAAGGCGACGAUCCGUAACUGGUCUGAGAGGAUGAUCAGUCACACUGGAACUGAGACACGGUCCAGACUCCUACGGGAGGCAGCAGUGGGGAAUAUUGGACAAUGGGCGAAAGCCUGAUCCAGCCAUGCCGCGUGUGUGAAGAAGGUCUUCGGAUUGUAAAGCACUUUAAGUUGGGAGGAAGGGCAGUAAGUUAAUACCUUGCUGUUUUGACGUUACCAACGGAAUAAGCACCGGCUAACUUCGUG